rnacentral:rRNA from 1 species
GCAUGUCUAAGUAUAAGCAAUUAUACCGCGAAACUGCGAAUGGCUCAUUAUAUAAGUUAUCGUUUAUUUGAUAGCACAUUACUACUUGGAUAACCGUGGUAAUUCUAGAGCUAAUACAUGCUAAAAAUCCCGACUUCGGAAGGGAUGUAUUUAUUAGAUUAAAAGCCAACGCCCUUCGGGGCUCUGUGGUGAUUCAUAAUAACUGGUCGAAUCGCAUGGCCUUGCGCCGGCGAUGGUUCAUUCAAAUUUCUUCCCUAUCAACUUUCGAUGCGAGGGUCUUGUCCUCGCAUGGUUGCAACGGGUAACGGAGGGUUAGGGCUCGACCCCGGAGAAGGAGCCUGAGAAACGGCUACUACAUCCAAGGAAGGCAGCAGGCGCGCAAAUUACCCAAUCCCGACACGGGGAGGUAGUGACAAUAAAUACUGAUACAGGGCUCUUUUGGGUCUUGUAAUCGGAAUGAGUACAAUUUAAAUCCCUUAACGAGGAACAAUUGGAGGGCAAGUCUGGUGCCAGCAGCCGCGGUAAUUCCAGCUCCAAUAGCGUAUAUUAAAGUUGUUGUGGUUAAAAAGCUCGUAGUCGAACCUUGGGCCUGGCUGGCCGGUCCCCCUCACCGGGUGCACUGAUCCAGCCGGGCCUUUCCCUCUGUGGAACCCCAUGGCCUUCACUGGCUGUGCGGGGGAAACAGGACUUUUACUGUGAAAAAAUUAGAGUGCUCCAGGCAGGCCUAUGCUCGAAUACAUUAGCAUGGAAUAAUAGAAUAGGACGUGUGGUUCUAUUUUGUUGGUUUCUAGGACCGCCGUAAUGAUUAAUAGGGACAGUCGGGGGCAUCAGUAUUCAGUUGUCAGAGGUGAAAUUCUUGGAUCUACUGAAGACUAACUACUGCGAAAGCAUUUGCCAAGGAUGUUUUCAUUGAUAAGGAACGAAAGUUAGGGGAUCGAAGACGAUCAGAUACCGUCGUAGUCUUAACUAUAAACUAUGCCGACUAGGGAUCGGACGAUGUUAUUAUUUGACGCGUUCGGCACCUUUCGAGAAA